GCCCAUAUAGCUCAGGGGUAGAGCACUUCCUUGGUAAGGAAGAGGUCGGCGGUUCAAUCCCGCUUAUGGGCUCCA
rnacentral:tRNA from 9 species